UCCUUGAUGGCUCAGACGCUAAAGAAUCUGCCUGCAAUGCGGGAAACCCAGGUUCAAUCCCUGGUCUGGAAG
rnacentral:tRNA from 1 species